rnacentral:rRNA from 1 species
UGAGGAAUAUUGGGCAAUGGGCGAUAGCCUGAACCAGCCAAGUCGCGUGAGGGAAGACGGCCCUAUGGGUUGUAAAUCUCUUUUGUCAGGGAACAAGGGACGGCACGUGUGCCGAGAUGAGUGUACCUGACGAAAAAGCAUCGGCUAACUCCGUGCCAGCAGCCGCGGUAAUACGGAGGAUGCGAGCGUUAUCCGGAUUUAUUGGGUUUAAAGGGUGCGUAGGCGGAAUUCCAAGUCAGCGGUAAAAUACGGAGGCUCAACCUGCGUUCGCCGUUGAAACUGGAGUUCUAGAGUGGGCGAGAAGUACGCGGAAUGCGAGGUGUAGCGGUGAAAUGCAUAGAUAUCACGCAGAACUCCGAUUGCGAAGGCAGCGUACCGGCGCUCAACUGACGCUGAAGCACGAAAGCGUGGGUAUCGAACAGGA